UGGGGAAUAUUGCGCAAUGGGCGAAAGCCUGACGCAGCGACGCCGCGUGAGGGAUGAAGGUUUUCGGAUCGUAAACCUCUGUCAGAAGGGAAGAAACCGCACUGUGCUAAUCAGCAGUGCCUUGACGGUAGCUUCAAAGGAAGCACCGGCUAACUCCGUGCCAGCAGCCGCGGUAAUACGGAGGGUGCAAGCGUUAAUCGGAAUUACUGGGCGUAAAGCGCACGUAGGCUGCUUUGUAAGUCAGGGGUGAAAUCCCACGGCUCAACCGUGGAACUGCCUUUGAUACUGCUUAGCUUGAAUCCGGGAGAGGGUGGCGGAAUUCCAGGUGUAGGAGUGAAAUCCGUAGAUAUCUGGAGGAACAUCAGUGGCGAAGGCGGCCACCUGGACCGGUAUUGACGCUGAGGUGCGAAAGCGUGGGGAGCAAACAGG
rnacentral:rRNA from 1 species